rnacentral:rRNA from 1 species
AAUCGAAUUCGCCGUGAAGAUGCGGUGUACCCGCGGCUAGACGGAAAGACCCCGUGAACCUUUACUGCAGCUUGACAUUGAACUUUGAUCUUACUUGUGCCCCAGUAAACGGCGGCCGUAACUAUAACGGUCCUAAGGUAGCGAAAUUCCUUGUCGGGUAAGUUCCGACCUGCACGAAUGGCAUAAUGAUGGCGGCGCUGUCUCCAGCAGAGGCUCAGUGAAAUCGAAUUCGCCGUGAAGAUGCGGUGUACCCGCGGCUAGACGGAAAGACCCCGUGAACCUUUACUGCAGCUUGACAUUGAACUUUGAUCUUACUUGUG